GUAUCCAUGGUGUAGUGGUUAUCACAUCCGCCUAAUACGCGUGAAGGUACCAGGUUCGAAUCCCGGUGGGUACA